GCAGAGAUAGAAGCUCGUACCUUUUGCAUCAUGAUUUAGCUAGUACCUUCAAGCAAAGAGAACUUAAAGUUUGCAACCCCGAAACUGCGUGAGCUACUCCAAGACAGCCCAUUUAUGGGGCAAACCCGUCUCUGUGGCAAAAGAGUGGGAAGAGCUUUGAGUAGAGGUGACAGACCUACCGAACCCAGUUAUAGCUGGUUGCCCGUGAAUUGAAUAGAAGUUCAGCCCCCUAAUUUCCCCACAAACUAGGAGUGUAACUCAAAGGGGGUACAGCCCCUUUGAGAUAAGGUACAACUUUUUCAGCAGGAUAAAGAUCAUACUUAGCCAAGGACACAUGUCUUAGUGGGCCUAAAAGCAGCCACCUCAGUAGAAAGCGUUAAAGCUCAAGCAUACUAUACCGAUAACUCUAUCUUAAACCCCUAAACUUAACGGGCCCUCCUAUGCCACUCAUAGGAAUGACCAUGCUAAUAUGAGUAAUAAGAGAGAACUCUCUCCUUGCACAUGUGUAAGUCGGAACGGACCCACCACCGACUCUUAACGACCCCAACCAAAGAGGGGACUGGAAAAUGAUCAAAAAAACACCCCCCGUUAACCCCACACUGGCGUGCCUUUAAGGAAAGACCAAAAGGGGGAGAAGGAACUCGGCAAACAAGCCUCGCCUGUUUACCAAAAACAUCGCCUCUUGCCAGUAUAAGAGGUCCCGCCUGCCCAGUGACUCAUAGUUCAACGGCCGCGGUAUUUUGACCGUGCUAAGGUAGCGUAAUCACUUGUCUUUUAAAUGAAGACCCGUAUGAAUGGCAUAACGAGGGCUUAACUGUCUCCUUCCCCAAGUCAAUGAAAUUGAUCUCCCCGUGCAGAAGCGGGGAUGAGCCCAUAAGACGAGAAGACCCUAUGGAGCUUUAGACACACAGGCAGAUCAUGUCAAAUGCGCCUUAUUACGGGCCCUGAACUAAGUGAACCCCUGCCCCUAUGUCUUCGGUUGGGGCGACCAUGGGGAACACAAAACCCCCACGUGGAAAAGGAGAACUCCUACAAACUAGAGCGACAGCUCAAACCAGCAGAAAUUCUGACCAAACAGAUCCGGCAACGCCGAUCAACGAACCAAGUUACCCUAGGGAUAACAGCGCAAUCCCCUUUUAGAGCCCAUAUCGACAAGGGGGUUUACGACCUCGAUGUUGGAUCAGGACAUCCUAAUGGUGCAG
rnacentral:rRNA from 1 species